rnacentral:tmRNA from 1 species
CCGCGCAGGUUUGUCUGUUACCAAGCGCCGCCGCCGACUUAAAACAAAUACAGGCUGCUGCAACCGAAGGCUGUGACGGUUGCUUAAGACCAUCCAGCUAAGGAAGUUGUUGGUUUGUUCUGUUCCGGCAAUUUCCCGACAAGCAAUUCGGAAAUAAGCAUGUAGAAAGCUUUUGAAUGUCAUGUUUGGACACGGGUUCGACUCCCGUCGGCUCCACCU